GUAUUGAUUGCGGGUUAGCGCAUAAAUGAGGUCAUUCUACACUUUUUAAAAGGGGUGUUUGUGUGAAAACGUGAGCCCUCCUGCAAAGGGGACCCACGCGGUGAUGCACAAGGGGUGAAAUGGAUGUGUGAGAGUGCUCAGGCGUGCACGACCUUUUGAAAGGUCAGCGACAGCCCUCGCACCCCCGUUGUAUGAUAAUGAUCCUUCCGCAGGUUCACCUACGGAAA
rnacentral:misc_RNA from 1 species